AUACGUUCAGCUCAAUUUAAAGCUGCAGUAAGACUCGAGACAUGGAACGGGGUCUUGGG
ncrna:unclassified sequences Glutamine-II riboswitch (downstream peptide RNA)